AGCACUGGAUCCUUAGUCAUCAGGGGGAACAAGGCUGACAGCAGAGGUUGAUGCCUGCAGAGAGAAAACAGUUACCAGCUGAUGCUUCAAACAGCAGCUGCAGUAUCCUCAGAUUCACUGACUCCCACUCAAAGACCUUGCCCGAAUCUGUUCAACAUGCAGAAGGCAGCACAUGUGCAUCCAUGGAGAAGCCUACUGUAGGCAGAGAAAAAGCUGGCCACUGGUGUGAGGUUUUAACCCCACUGAAACCAACAAGGAAGGAGAAUUAAAAUCAAAAUAUGUCACCUCCACAUCUUCCUGAUGACUGAAGAGCCCCAAGUGGUAUUUCGGAAAAAAAGAUAUCAUGAAGAUGAGCUGAUUUGAUUCUGCAGACGCAUAUGCUUAUCUCCUCUGAUUUUCCGGGAAACUAUUAAAAGUGCCGGAAGCUAUUAUAGGUGUACUCCAGCUAAAGUACUGAAAUUAUGUGAUCUGGAAAAAAACUUACACCUUAAGAAAGAUUUAAUGUUUUCCUUUCAGACCUAAGUGCAGCAUGUUCCUAUCAUAGUGAUUUGUUCUAGGAGUUAAUAAUUAAUGGAGUAAUAAAAAAUUUGAAAUAGCAGAUAGGAGGCUAUAAUAAUACUACAGAUGGCAUUCGUGUGCACUAUUAGCUCACAAAGGGUAAGAAAUAUACAAUUUUGAAUACAGAUCAUUCUCCAAGUAAAAGACAGCAGUUUAGAGGAUCCUUUUGCUACCUUUUUCACAAGUCAGCUAGAAGAGCUCUGGUAAGUAGACACCUGAUUAUUCUCCUCCAUCCAGCCUGCCGUGUAUGGUAUUAUAUUGCCUGCCCCAUCAGACAUCUGGUUAGCACUCUGGUCUGACCAUCGCCAUGGUAACAGGGAAUAAAACCCGUUUCUCUGGCAGUGCUGCCCAGCAGCGUUAGGUAACACACAUCUUGCUCGGUGCAGGGGCGAGUGCUGCGGCAGCCAGCACAAAACCCUCAUCACCCUACACAGAUCCUGCUUCUCCCUCCAUAGCUCCAGGAACAUCAGUUAGUAUUGACUGGGACCGACAGAGAAGCUUCUGACAACAACCCCUUUGAGGAGCAUGGAUGCCACCACUCAAAUUUUUGCAGACGUUUCUAUAUGAUAACCACUAUUUAAUCUGUGUUUGUUCUGUUGCUCUGUGACCUUGUUAUAGAUCUUGCACCUCUCCAGCUCCAGCCCCCUGAGAGACAGUUAGGAGUCUGUUCUAGCUGAAGGUGUCUCUGCUCAUUGCAGGGGAGUUGGACUAGAUGACCUUGCAAGGUCCCUUCCAACGCAAACUGUUCUAUGAUUCUAUGACUCUAAGUGGUGAGAUGAGACCUCUCUCCAGCACACUGGCUGUCGGCAGUGCUGUGCUGGACGAGACAGCAUCCUCUUGAACUAAGCUGGGUUCAUACCCUGGGAAGUGUUUCCUUUUUGCCUCUUACUAAUGGUGACUGAGGACCAUGACCAAAAUCUAUUCCUUUUGCUGAGAAGAUUUUUAACUCCUCCAAAACUUUGUAGGUUGAGCACAGACAUUUUCCUCUUCCACAUCCAAUUAUCCAGAUUGCUUUGAUGAAAAUUUAUUUGAAGAAUCAGAGAAUCAUUUCAGUUGGAAGAGAUCCUCAGGAUCCAUGAGUCCAGCCAUAAACUAACUCUAGCAAUAAACCAUAUCCCUAAGAACCUUGUCUAAACACCUUUUACACACCUUCAGGGAUGGUGACUCCACCACUUCCCUGGGCAGCCUGUUCCAAUGCCAGACAACCCUUUCUGUGAAGAAUUUUUUCCGAAUAUCCAAUCUAAACCUCCCCUGGCACAACUUGAGGCCAUUUCCUCUUGUCCUGUCACUUGUUAUUUGAGACUUGCUACUUAUAUUUUGAACCCACUUUUCUAGUAUUUCCAAGCUAUACAAGAAUUUACCUUUGCCAACCCCACUGCAUAGGACUGGUGCAUGGCUAACACUGGAAUAAUGUUUGUGUUUAUUGUAACUUAUCAGAAACAUAAGUAGUUUUUAAAAUUACCAUUUUAAAAAAUAUAGAUUCAAUAAAAACUGUAUAGGUUCAAUAAAAACAUUGCAGGCAAUUGAGAAGUUUUACUGAAAAUAUUCCCUUGUUUAUAACCGAAAUAAAAUAUUUGUUUAUCAGUAGUGUACUGUCUUAAUUAUGUAUGGUCUUUAAUAUGGUAACUACAAGUCUUUAAUUAAAUAAUUAGAUCUGAAAAUAUUCACCGCCUCCUCCAAACAAGCUAACCUGAAACAAACAAAAAAAGCAUGGAAUUCCAACUAUUAAGAUAUUUCUACAUAAAACAAUCUGUUGGUGUGGAUGUACUUUGUAUUGGGAUUUAAUUGAAAUUCAGUAGCAUUGAUAAGUUAUUUUUGUAUUAGAAACAUUCACAGUGAAAUUCUGCUUUUAAAUAUCAGCUGCUUAUUUCCACCAUCCCCUCCAUAGAUGUGCACACACACAUGCAUAUGUAUAUAAAUUAGCAAUGACCACACAUACAUAACAUCAUCACCCUACACAUGCAGCUGUAAUAUCUGGAUAUGAUGUGUUUUUUUCCAAACAGACAUACAUUUACUUCAGAUGCAAAAAAGUUUGGGUAUGUCUGUUGGUUUACCUUUUUUUUUUUUUUUUCGACCCACCAGGAGCUCCUCUGUUACCCCAGUUGUGGUAUCUGCAGCUCCCAUACAUGUGGUAUAUUUUGGGAUUUUUCUUAUCUUGGGAGCUAUAAGUCCCAACAACUUGUUGAAACUUAGAAUUUUGUUGUAAAUAUAAAAGUUAGAAUAUGAAGGUCCUUAAAUCUCUCUUAUCCUAGAAAUACAGAGACACAGAAUUAUUUUUUUCCUGUUAUCUAAUCUGGACCUUCCGUUCUGCAGUUUAUCCCCAUUAUUACUUCUUCUGUACUCUAUCCCUUCACAGAAGACUUGUAUGCCUAUGAAUAUUAUCACUAUUUUUUGUUAAUUGGUUGGUUGUUUUUGUUGGUUUUGCAUUCCCACUCCCUUCUGCUGGGCAGUGCCCAGUAGCUGUGUGAUGUUUCUAAGCAGAGGUACCUGUAGCAAUGUCAGUCAGCUAAAAUGGUGCUGAAUAAGAUUCCUCUUUUGCGACAUUUCUCUUUCUAUCCCUUACAGUCUAGCCUCAUGUCAUUUUCAAAUUGAUUAGUGUAUUUUCCAUUUUGUAAGAUUAAUAAAGAGUAGCAAUAAACACAGAAUGGAUAGUAUCUUCAUAUAUGCCCUACGCUUUGUGAUCACUGCUGUAAAUCCUGAUUUCCAACUGGAUUUGUCUUCCACAAAACAGCUGGAACAUUUCCCUUGCUGGCAUAAGAGAAUACCGUGAGAUGAUGUCAGAAACUUCUGCUUUUUUCAUUAUAAUGAAUGAUCAUCAUCUACAAUAAAAUAAGAUACAAUUCACUGCUUUUAAUACUUUUAACAGGUUUAAUAUUUGUGCCAUCUGUGAUGUCAAUUUCCUGAUAUUGUUGGCUCAUUUGAAAUAUAUAUACAUAUAUCAUCAUUGUACUUUAGUGUGUUCCCAGAAAGCUGAUAUAUUUUGGAAGCCCAGGACAGAAUGGAUAGAGUGAAAGAGAACAUCUUGUAAGAAACUGAAUUUUAAGUGUCAUUACAGUACACAUUGA